CUCCUACGCCAAUCUGGAGGAUGUUUAUUGUCAAGAUACGGGGAAAUCAUUAAUGCCGAUACACUUGAGGGCCAGAGCGGCAUAUGGUACUUUUCGUGAACAAUAUAGGGGUGAUGAGAGGAAUCGGGAUAAGAUCACAAAAAAUCUCGAGUUAGUGGAGGGAUUUGAGA